CUUUUACGUAAAAUGAAACUUUUUGUCAUUUACUGAAUGUGUUAAAUUAUAAAACUGUGCAACAGUUUUAUAAUUUAAGACAAAUCUUAUAUGUUUAAUUGAAAAAGUAAAUAUUUUGAAAAUUAAUUUUGUCUAUAUAUAUAUUAGAUGUUCAAGAGAUCAGAGCCGAAGAGCUCUUGCCUACGGAAGUAAUGGACAAGCUAAGUGAAGAAUUUUGUUGUUGUUGUUUGUUUUUUUUUGUGUGUGUGCAAAUACGUUUAUGCUUUUUUAGUUUUUUUAAAGAUAUUUUGACUUUAUUAUUGACUUUUGUCUGUUGUGACAGUUUGUCAGUCAGCAAGUGACUUUUGUAACUUUUAAAUUUAUUUUAUUUAGAAAAAUUAGAAGAUUCUGUUGAGAAUCCAAAAAAAUUAGAACAUUCAAUGGGU